UAGAUGUUGGCUUUUCGCCACAGGAUCGAUCACAUCAAAUCACACAAACACAUGCGAUAAACACUUUUAGCGAGGGGUGCGUCUCGCACCCUCUAAUUCCUCCCUUUAUUUUCUUGUUUUCUCAUCGGUACGACUCGAUACGUUACAAAGCUAUAACCUGUCCAUGUAUUUAUACACAUCCUGCCAAGCUCUCACGGUAAAAGCUAUCCUAAUCUGACUCUAUAUUCUAAUCGGACUCAUACUAGUAUUAGGAAAGUACAAACCGACUAAACCUAAAUUUCCUAAACUAAUCAUCCGGCAGCGUUGAUCACACUACUAAUCCUAACCGGACUCAAAGCUAGCCCACGUUUGGAUUAUCCUACAU
rnacentral:lncRNA from 1 species